rnacentral:rRNA from 1 species
AGUGAACGCUGGCGGCGUGCCUAAUACAUGCAAGUCGAACGGAGUGGCGCGCGGGUGAGUAAUGUAUAGCUAAUCUGCCCUACACUAGAGGACAACAGUUGGGAACGGCUGCUAAUACUCUAUAGUGUAGGAUGAGGCGAUAUUGUCUCAGCUAGUUGGUGAGGUAAUGGCUGACCAAGGCUAUGACGCAUAACUGGUCUGAGAGGAUGCGCAGUCACACUCGAACUGAGACACGGUCCAGACUCCUACGGGAGGCAGCAGUAGGGAAUAUUGCUCAAUGGGGGAAACCCUGAAGCAGCAACGCCGCGUGGAGGAUGACACGUUUCGGAGCGUAAACUCCUUUUGUUAGGCAAGCGGUACCUACCGAAUAAGCACCGGCUAACUCCGUGCCAGCAGCCGCGGUAAUUC